UACAGGGGGGGCAAGCGUUGUUCGGAAUUACUGGGCGUAAAGGGCGUGUAGGCGGCCAACUAAGUCCGACGUGAAAUCCCCAGGCUUAACCUGGGAACUGCGUCGGAUACUGGAUGGCUUGAAUCCGGGAGAGGGAUGCGGAAUUCCAGGUGUAGCGGUGAAAUGCGUAGAUAUCUGGAGGAACACCGGUGGCGAAGGCGGCAUCCUGGACCGGCAUUGACGCUAAAGCGCGAAAGCGUGGGUAGCAAACAGG
rnacentral:rRNA from 1 species